ensembl:misc_RNA Y_RNA Y RNA
GGCUGGUCUGAUGGUGGUGCGUUAUGAGAACUUACUAACAUUAGUGUCACUAAAGUUGGUAUACAAUCCCCCACUGCUAAAUUUGGCUAAUAA